rnacentral:rRNA from 1 species
GACGAACGCUGGCGGCGUGCCUAAUACAUGCAAGUUGAGCGAUGAAGAUUGGUGCUUGCACCAAUUUGAAGAGCAGCGAACGGGUGAGUAACGCGUGGGGAAUCUGCCUUUGAGCGGGGGACAACAUUUGGAAACGAAUGCUAAUACCGCAUAACAACUUUAAACAUAAGUUUUAAGUUUGAAAGAUGCAAUUGCAUCACUCAAAGAUGAUCCCGCGUUGUAUUAGCUAGUUGGUGAGGUAAAGGCUCACCAAGGCGAUGAUACAUAGCCGACCUGAGAGGGUGAUCGGCCACAUUGGGACUGAGACACGGCCCAAACUCCUACGGGAGGCAGCAGUAGGGAAUCUUCGGCAAUAGACGAAAGUCUGACCGAGCAACGCCGCGUGAGUGAAGAAGGGUUUCGGAUCGUAAAACUCGGUUGGUAGAGAAGAACGUUGGUGAGAGUGGAAAGCUCAUCAAGUGACGGUAACUACCCAGAAAGGGACGGCUAACUACGUG